UUUUUUUUUUUUUUUUUUUAAUCGAAGUAAUAGAUACUCAAUAAUGGGAUUCGUUCCCUGAACAGAAUCUAACUCAGGCUGUAGCCAUAAAAGCACAGAAGCUUAGCUACUAGACCACAGGCUGGAGUGUUUUGUUUUGUCUCUUUUCCCUUCUCUCUCUUCUUGCCCUUUCAUACAUGUUUUUGGGGCCCCAUAAUGUACCAGACACUGUGGCAACCACUGGGAGUAAAAUAGCCAACAAAACGAGACUCAAUCCCAGACUCCAUGGACCUUAUACUCUAAUGAGAGGGAUAGACAUUUAUCUAAUAAUCACACACAACAUACAACAUUUCAUAUAACAACUUGCAUUCUAGUAAAUGCUGGGAGGAGAGAUUCUCAGGGUACAAUUGGAACCUAUGACAGGGGUUGGCCUGGUCAGGAAGGUCAGGGAAGCCUUCCCUGAGAAUUUGAUGACUUAGCUGCGAGCUGAAUGGUGAGUAGGAAUUAAUGAGUGGCUAAAAUGGGGAACAGUUUUCCAGGCUCUGACAGUGUGUGCAAGUGCCAUGUGGAGGAGUUUGAGGGGCCAAAAUGAAGGGUAGGGUGGAUGGAGAGGAAAGAGUAAGGGGUGAAGGAAUGUUAAUUAGGCUGCAGAGUUAAGUGAUGGUCAGAUCAGGCAGGGCGCAAUGUAGGCUAUAUUAAGAACACCAUCCCAACAGCAAUGGGAUGUCAUUGAAGGGUCUAAGCAAAAAUGUGACAUGGUUAAAUAUGUGAUGUCUUGCAAAUUCAGUUCAUCAAAAUCCUAGUAUUCUAAAACAUUUUAAAAUAUACUCAACACAUACAUUAAUCCCCAAUAUUCCUUAAUCUGCCCACCCUCAUUUCCAACAACUGUGGUGACAUGGGAUUGUACAAGGAAUUGGCUUCAUAUACGUAAUUCAUAGUCAAUACAUUUUGUGUUUACCUUCAUGGGAAAAAUGCUGGCUCACAGAAUUAGUUGACUCAGUUGGGAUGUAUUCUUCCAUUUGCUGGAAAAGUUUGUGUAAAAUUGUUAUUACUUCCUUAAUGUUUGUUAGAAAUCCUCAAUGAAGCUAUCUGGGCCUGGAUUUUUUUCUUUAUGGGAAGAUUUGUAACUAUAAAUUCAAUUUCUUUAAAAGAGUUUUUUAGGGUAUCUAUUUCUUGGCUGAGCUUUCGUAGUUUGCAUCUUCAAGGAAUUUUUCUGUUUAAUUUGCCAAAUACACUGAUACAAAGUGUUCAAAAUGUUCCCUUUUAACAACUGUAGAAUCUGUAGUAUUAUCACCUCUUGUUACCUAUACUGAUAAUUCGUCUUCUCUAUCUCUUUCCUGAUCAGUCGGCCUAGAAAUUUAUCAAACUUACUUAGCUUCUGAAAGAAUCAGCUUUUGGUUUCAUUGAUUUUCUCUAUUGUAUUUCUACUGUGUGUUUUAUUUUAUUUUAUUUUUUGAGACGGAGUCUUGUUCUGUCACCCAGGCUGGAGUACAGUGGCAUGAUCUCUGCUCACUGCAACCUCCCCUUCCUGGGUUUAAGCUAUUCUCCUGCCUCAGCCUCCCAAGUAGCUGGAAUUACAGGUACGUGCCACCAAGCCCAGCUAAUUUUUUAUAUUUUUAGUACAGACGGGGUUUCAUCAUCUUGGCUAGGCUGGUCUUGAACUCCUGACCUCAUGAUCCACUCUCCUUGGCCUCCCAAAGUGCUGGGAUUACAGGCAUAGCCACCGCACCCGGCCUACCUUUUCUUUUGAUUUCUGCUCUCAUAUUUCUUUUUUUUCUACUUACUUUGGACUAGACCACCACCAUUUUUUGCUCCCCACUCUUCUCCUUCAAGGACUGCAAUUAUACACCAUGCAUUUGGCUGCCUGAAGUUGUCCCACCCUUUAGUGAUGCUCUUUUUAUUUUGGUAGGAGGUGUGUGUCUUAUUUUGUUCUUUUUACUCUCUGUUUCAGGGAGGUUCUACUGCUAUGUCUUCAAGUUCACUAAUCUUUCUUUCUGCAAUAUCUUAUCUGCCAUUAAUCUCAUGUAACAUAUUUUUCAAUCUCAGACAUUGGAGUUUUCACCUCUAGAAGUUUGAUAUGGGUCUUUUUAUACCUUCUCUGUAAUAUCUUCAGUCUUUCCUCUGGUUUCUUGAAUAUAUGGAAUAUAAUUAUAAUAAUUGUUUUAAUGUCCUUGUCUAACAAUCUUCAUCAUCUGUAAUUUCUGAGUCAGUUUUGACAGAAUGUUUUAUUUUAUUUUUUGUUUGUUUUGAGAC
rnacentral:lncRNA from 1 species